CGUUCCCGGGCCUUGUACACACCGCCCGUCACGUCACGAAAGUCGGUAACACCCGAAGCCGGUGGCCCAACCCCCUUGUGGGGAGGGAGCUGUCGAAGGUGGAGUCGGUGAUUGGGGUG
rnacentral:rRNA from 1 species